GACGGAGGGGGCUAGCGUUGUUCGGAAUGACUGGGCGUAAAGGACAUGUAGGUUGUUAACUAAGUCAGGCGUGAAAGCCCUGGGCUCAACCCAGGAACUGCGUCUGAGACUGGUUAGCUAGAGUAUAGUAGAGGAAUGUGGAAUUCCGAGUGUAGAGGUGAAAUUCGUAGAUAUUCGGAGGAACAUCUGAGGCGAAGGCGACAUUCUGGGCUAUAACUGACACUGAAAUGUGACAGCGUGGGGAGCAAACAGG
rnacentral:rRNA from 1 species